GAUGAACGCUAGCGGCAGGCUUAAUACAUGCAAGUCGAGGGGCAGCAUGGUGUAGCAAUACACUGAUGGCGACCGGCAAACGGGUGCGGAACACGUACAGAACCUUCCUUCGAGCGGGGAAUAGCCCAGAGAAAUUUGGAUUAAUACCCCAUAGUAUAUUGAAAAGGCAUCUUUUUAAUAUUAAAGAUUUAUCACUUGAAGAUGGCUGUGCGGCUGAUUAGGUAGUUGGCGGGGUAACGGCCCACCAAGCCUGCGAUCAGUAACUGGUGUGAGAGAACGACCAGUUACACGGGAACUGAGACACGGGCCCGACUCCUACGGGAGGCAGCAGUAAGGAAUAUUGGUCAAUGGACGAAAGUCUGAACCAGCCAUGCCGCGUGGAGGAUGAAGGUCCUCUGGAUUGUAAACUUCUUUUAUAUGGGACGAAAAAAGGCUUUUCUAAGUCGUCUGACGGUACCAUAUGAAUAAGCACCGGCUAACUCCGUGCCAGCCGCCGCCGUAAUAC
rnacentral:rRNA from 1 species